UGACUGAAAAGAGAAAACCAGAAGUAGAAAAAAAAAACACAUUAUUAAAAAUCUAACAAGUGAGCUUUGUUGUCGAAACAGAAACUGACAGCUACCACCCAAAAUUUUCUUGAAGUAGAAUCGAUAAAAUUUUUCAGAGAUGUGCAAGAUAAGCGUAACUAAACUGAUUCUGACAGGUAAAAAAUUAUCAAAGGCUAUGCCGUCUAGCGCCAGAAAAAAGAAACGUUUAACAGUAACAUGAAAAAAUGUCCGCUCUAGCUCGUUGAUACCAUGUUUGACACUCAAUUGAAAGAACUAACAAACAAAGGUUUUGAUACUCACAUAAUAUUCUCCCCUUCAAAUUUGUAUCUCGUCUUCACCCAAAAAUGAAAAAUCCACCACCGCAGCAUCACAGCACAUCACAACAGACGAAAUCCUCAAGGUUGCGAUGGUCAUUGAUGAAUUGGAGAGCAGCAUAGGAAUGUGACAGCUUUGUCUGGGUCUGGGCUGAAUGCCCUACUAGGUAGAAUCCUCUUGGGAAACUUCGUACUUCCAAAAAUCAAAACAAAUUUAGAUUAGGAUUUUGAGGUGGGAGAUCCAUUUGCUUGUCUAUCAAAUAAUUUGAGAUCACAACAAAGUCUGAGCUUCAUUGCUGUCAUGCAGAUGGUUUCAUGCAGCCACCCGGUGAAAAGGGAGUUCAAGUUGAGCUGCAGCUGCUGCAAGCAGUCUGUAGCGGUGAUGUCAUCCUGAAGUGUUCUCAAUGUGUCAGUCUAGGCUGAAGCUAAUUAAAGUGUGCUGUUCAAGUCUUAUCACAGACAUCAAGCACAUUGAUAACAAAUUAUGAAGAGGGGUCUAAACUACAUGUUUCUAAAUUUGCAUACCAGACUUUAUGAAAAGUCAUGUCGUUUGAAGAAGAAGGACGAUGACUACACAGUCGACAAGGUCCCUUGUUUGAAAACCCGUUGGCUGCUACCUGUGAAUCUUCCUUUUUACUUCCUUUAACGGGCCCUCUUAAUUGAGGGUAACUCUUUGCUACUGAUCUUCCACUGGACCCGACUUCAUCCAUUGAUGAAAGCUGACGAGAGAAUGCUGUAAUUCAAGACUGAUAAAUUGUGUAGUUGUUAGAUUACAUUGCAAGUGCAUUUCUGGGCUCCCUUCUUUUCUGUGGCCCCGUUUCCCUAUCUAACCACUAACCAACGCCCGCCGGUGGUCACUCACCCGCUGUGAAACCAGGAGGAGGG